rnacentral:rRNA from 1 species
UACGGGGGGGGUAAGCGUUGUUCGGAAUUACUGGGCGUAAAGCGUGCGCAGGCGGUGACGUAAGACAGAUGUGAAAUCCCCGGGCUCAACCUGGGAACUGCAUUUGUGACUGCAUCGCUGGAGUACGGCAGAGGGGGAUGGAAUUCCGCGUGUAGCAGUGAAAUGCGUAGAUAUGCGGAGGAACACCGAUGGCGAAGGCAAUCCCCUGGGCCUGUACUGACGCUCAUGCACGAAAGCGUGGGGAGCAAACAGG